rnacentral:piRNA from 1 species
UGCCAUGUGAACACCUGAAGCCAUGUGGA